UUUUUUUUUUUUUAAGAUUUAUUUAUUUUAGAGAGACAGCACAAGUGUGUAAGCAGGAGAGAGAGAGAGGGAGAUAAUCUCCAACAGACUCCAGGCUAAGUGCAGAGUCUGACGUGGGGCUUGAUCUCAUGACACUGAGAUCAGGACCCUGAGCUCAUGACCUGAGCCAACAAAACCAAGAGUCAGAUGCUUAACAGACUGCGCCCACCCCCACCCCCAGGCGCCCCAAAGGGGCAACUCUUAAUCUGGUUUCAACCACAGGCAAGAAUAAAAACUCCUUCCAAAAAACGACAAUGAGCUCAACGCCUGAUGCUCAUUGUAGUUCUUUCUGGGGAUUUGUUUCCUUUUCAGACAAUUUCAUGUGUAUUUUAGAGGAAAUAAAGAAGACAUUGUUCACAGCACUUCCAGUCACUUUACUACAUUCUUAGGAGUCGGGGGUUCAAUCUCAAAUGAAACUUCUCACUAACAUUUUGUUCAGUUAUUUACGCCCUCUAAACAAUGAGCAUCUUUAGGCAAAGACUUCCUAGCCCAUCCAACUAAACAAAAGAGCCUCCCCUACAGCACACAGACUCUCAUUUCCAUUCCGAAAGCCCCGCAGGCAUAUCUGUGAAGCUUGCCUUCAUAACACUCAUUUAAUUUUAAAUUAAAUUAAGGGCGCAAAAGGUAAACACAUUGUUUAGUUUAUUCCAAGUAAUGUCCUAAACUUACGAUUUCAAUAGUUCUCCGACCAACUGAUGACUCCUACUACAAUAAAGAAUUCAUGAACCAUGGAGCCAACUGACAAAAAUUAAAUAAAUAAAUAUCACUCACAGUUUAGAAGAAAAAGCAUUUGCAUAGUCCAGUUCCUAACUUGCAAAUGGUAUAAAUAUCUGGGGGAAAUUCCCAUCAAGAUUUUUAGCAUGUCUAGAACCUAUGAGGAAAAAACUGGGUUUUCUUCCCCCCAUAAAAGCACACCAAGUUAGGAAGACCCCAGAUUUCUGAGUCAUCCGUUGACACACGUAACAAAUAUUCAUGUAGGCAAAGCUAGCGGAAACAAUACGGUGAAAUGGAAAUGAAAUACUGAUCUGUUUUUCUUCAGCAUAGUUCUAAGCUUUCCCAUGGGGGGAGGGAGAAGCAUUAUUUGAUAGGUUCCUUUAUGCAACAUAUAUUUAUUGAUCUGAUGGCCCCAGUUUUUGUGAGGUUUUCUAACAAUGUCCAGCUGCCUGAUAAGGGGAAGGAGGUGGGGGGGGGGGCGGGUAGGGGCGAUAAUAGGGAAGAACCUUGGCUGGAAAUUACCGAAGAACACAGUAAGGAAAGCUACAGAAAAUCGACAUUACUAAGCCAUCUUAUUAUUUCUGAGCUGGGCACACAGGCAGGAUCCUCUCCCCCCACCACCCCCCCAGAAAACAAGAAGAGAACAAGGGAUGGCAUCAAGGAGGAGAGAAAACAGCAGGCUCACGAGAAAAGAGGGGAUGGGCAGGAAGAAGUUAGGACUUCAAAAAAGGAGACUAAUAGAGUUUGAAAUAUUGAAAGUGGAGCAGAUCUAUUAGGUGUGGCAUGUGUGUGCACAGCUGAAGUGGAAUGAAGAUGAAGGUCAUCUUAGUUGAGGGAGGAGAACUGUGAGAUCUGGUAUUAGCAAAGUCAUCAAAGGGAUGCUAUCCUUCAGGGGGGCCCUGUGUAGAAUGGCAGAGGAAAAUGUGAGACUCUCUUGAAGCAACCGAGACUCCUGAAUUGGUACCGUGGAGGCAAGUUGGGGCUGGGAUAGUGGAGAGGUACUUAAAGUUUGGUUGGCAUUUACACACGCUUGGUAAAGUAUCAAUUUCCAUUUCUAAGAAUGGGGGGAGAUUAUAGAGUUGAUAAGGGAGCACCCUUCAAGCCAUCCUUGGCCUGGAGCCCCCACUGAUUCGAAGGCAGAUUACAGUGGUGUCUGAUUUGUGCAAAUUUCAUGAAUUUAAGGUCACACUGAAAUAACGGGAGUAAUCUGAGUGUGAAAAAAGUCAAGAAAUAUAUUUGAUCCCUAUUUCUCUACUCAGGAAUAGAGAGAAUUUUUUGAUAAGUGAUGUUCCUUGGCCACUCUCGGAUUUUCCCUGGGUUCCCUAAGACCAUCACUCGAGCUCACAGAACACUGGCUGAUGAUAUCUCCACAAUUGUCUACACGAGCACUGCUAGGGAAGGCACACUUCUCCCUUCUGGGUUCUUUUGUCUGGCUUAAUGAUGAAGUUGACAUAAAACUGAUUUACAGGAGGAAAUUUUAAUUUCAUUGCUAAGGGAAACCCAAAGACAUGAGGGUUCUUCCCAAGCAAUUGACGCUUCUGUGCCAUCUUGAGCUAAGGACAAGGGGGCAGAGGAUGGGUCUGGGCUUCAAGGAGGAGGAAGACAAUUCAUAGGAAGAUUCGAAGAGCAAUGUUUGGUAAACAAGAGCUCCUCACUGGAGCAGAGACAAUGGAACACAAGAGGACUUCGCACAAACAAGCCCUGCAGCACCCCCCAGCUCCCCAUACCUGGCUCUCUUCCUGCACCAGGCCCUGGGUGAAAUUCUGAGAGGUAAUUCAAAGUGAGGCAAGAAGCUCCUUCUGGGUUCUCUAGGUCCCCAACUGUCCAAUAGCCACACAUCAAAGUGGUGUACUCCAGGGUGGCCUGCCCAGAACCCCAUCACUUCUUCGCUUCUCAUCAUGCACACAGAGCACUCACCUCACCAGUCCCGGACCAGCACACAUGUCAGAUUGCUUACUGGUCCUUCCCUCUGGAUGCCCCACUAGUGCUUCUAAAUCAACACAGCUAAAACUCAGUUUAUAAUGUCCGUGCUUCCAUUCACUUAAGCAAGCCAGAAAGUCAUCUUCAAAAAUUGCCUUUCUUCCCCUUAUCUUCCCCCUCCAUUCUCUUCCCUCCAACACCAACUGGUAACCAAAUCCAAAGAAUUUCAACUCUUGAAAAUCCAUUGGCUCUUUCCCAUCUUCUUCUUCUUCUUUUUUUUUUUUUUUAAGAUUUUAUUUAUUUAUGAGAGACACAGAGAGAAAGAGAGGCAAAGACACAGGCAGAGGAAGAAGCAGGCUCCUCGCAGGGAGCCUGAUGUGGGACUUGAUCCCCGGUCUGGAUCUCCAGGGUCAUGCCCUGGACUGAAGGCGGUGCUAAAUUGCUGAGCCACCUGGGCUGCCCAUCUCUUUCCCAAUCUUACUGCCACAGACUUAGAUCAUGGUUUCUCACCUGAUCUUCCAAAUGGCCUUCUAACUAGCUUCCCACUCCUCUGAAACAUCCCCCAUGCUAUCACCAGGGCAGUCUCUGUAAGUAACAAUCUGAUCAGCUCACUUUAUGAGUCAAAACCUUCAGUGGUGAAAGGGAAUAUAGAGAAACGAGAGAAAAUGAGUGAAAAUAUCAGUGAGGGUGACAAAACAUGAGAGUCCCCUAAUCUGGGAAAUGAAUAAGGGGUAGUGGAAGGGGAGGUGGGCAGGGGGCUGGGGUGACUGGGUGAUGGGCACUGAGGGGGGCACUUGGCGGGAUGAGCACUGGGUGAUAUUCUAUAUGCUGUUAAAUUGAACUCCAAUAAAAUUUUUUUAAUAAAAUCUAAUUUAUCUGGUAUGAAUAAAAAAAAAAA
rnacentral:lncRNA from 1 species